rnacentral:rRNA from 1 species
GACGAACGCUGGCGGCGUGCCUAAUACAUGCAAGUCGAGCGAAGUUUUUCUGGUGCUUGCACCGGAAAAACUUAGCGGCGAACGGGUGAGUAACACGUAAAGAACCUGCCUCAUAGACUGGGACAACUAUUGGAAACGAUAGCUAAUACCGGAUAAUAGCAUUAACUGCAUGGUUGAUGUUUAAAAGUUGGUUUUGCUAACACUAUGAGAUGGCUUUGCGGUGCAUUAGCUAGUUGGUGGGGUAAAGGCCUACCAAGGCGACGAUGCAUAGCCGACCUGAGAGGGUGAUCGGCCACACUGGGACUGAGACACGGCCCAGACUCCUACGGGAGGCAGCAGUAGGGAAUCUUCCGCAAUGGGCGAAAGCCUGACGGAGCAACGCCGCGUGAGUGAAGAAGGAUUUCGGUUCGGAAAGCUCUGUUGUUAGGGAAGAAUGAUUGUGUAGUAACUAUACACAGUAGAGACGGUACCUAACCAGAAAGCCACGGCUAACUACGUGC